rnacentral:tRNA from 1 species
GUUCGCAUAGUUGAAUGGACAACGAUGGCUUUUCGAGCCAUAAGUUCGAGUUAGAAUCUUGGUGCGAACC